GAGGGUAUAGCUCAGUGGUAGAGCACAUGCUUAGCAUGCUUGAGGUCCCGGGUUCAAUCCUCAGUACCUCCA
rnacentral:tRNA from 1 species